AGUGCGGUAGUAGUCGUGCCGCGCAACCGACCGACUUUUUCAAAGCCCAGAGCAGCAAGCGCGGUAUACCUGCCUGCAUCGCAUCUAUAUAAACAUUCGCGAUCGACGAACCGCGCGCGCACUGGCUGCACAUAAGAAAUUUUUCCGCGCCCGCGGACGUUCAUUCGAUUUGGCCGAUUGGGAGCGAGUUGUUUACGUUUCGCCGAUCACCUCGCAUCAGGGGGUGAGCCAGAAGAGACUCAGUCAGCGCGCUUGCUUGCGUGCAGUGUACGUGUGUGUGUGUGUGUGUGUGUGUGUGCACAUAUAUACAGUGUGUGAGACGAGAAGAUUAUUUGCACCGGAACUGCAGAAUAUAGACGAACGUCAGCAGCAGCAAGUCCGAUGCUACGUAGGCCUAAGUCGAACAGGAGAAAACGGCCGGUUGGUGCUGCAGUUGCAGGCUCGUCAGGAUUCGAGUUAUUAUGUCCGAUGACACGGCGACGCUCCUCGGAAAAGCAGACUGGGUUGAAGAGCUGCAGAGGAAAGUGUUCGAGGAAUGCGCCGCCCAAUCCCGUCAGGGCUUGCAGGAGCCGGUGCUGCAGGGAGAGGACAUCAGCGAGUCAUCGGUCACCGCGACGAGUCAGGAGCUCGGGGAUGAUGAUGUGCCGGUUGCGGUAAUCGUCGAUAACAUCAACAAGAACUUCGCACAAAUCCCACACUUUCGUUUUAUAUUUUUGUGCAAAAGCCAGAGGACUGUCUUCUUGGAGGAGCUGCACAAGUCCCUGAAGAAAGUCGCUCGCAACAAUAACGUCGACUGGGCGGAAUUCAAGGAAUCAUCGGAGCACUGGUUUCUCAAGCUGUUCAAUCUAGUGCAGCAGGAUGGCAACAACAACAUUCGCCUGAACCACAGCGAUGCGCCGACGGAGGACUCGGAGAGAGAUGGACUUUCGGUGGAGGAGCACAGCGAUGCCAUCGACGACGACCUCAACUCUUGCUCGAUGAAUCAGCUGGAUACUGUUGCGUCCUGUUACAGUCUCAAUAGCAGCAGUAUGGGGUUUGGCACGACAGACAGUAUGAUGGAGUCGUCGGAGGAUGCAGAUCAUAUGAAUGACGACAUUUCCGGAAUAGAUUUAAAAGUUCGCAUUCGACGUUAUAAUGCAGAGACCGUCAGUCUGAGAGAUGAUCUUUCACGAGCAGAAGACACGAUUUCAGCGCUCGAGCGCGAAAUAAAAUCGACGAAAUCAGCUUUAGAUCAUGUGACUAAUAAAUUUACGCGAGUAAAAAAGGAAACUGAGGAUCAGAGGGAAAUGCUGGCAGACGCGGCACAAAGGGAAGAGUCGAACAAGCGGGAUUUGCGGAAACUGGAAAAAGCUUACUCCACUUUAGAAAAAAAGAUUACAGAAUUGGAAACAGAAAAAGAAAAUAUUUUGAACUUGAAAGCAAAAAUAGAAGCACUUACGAAAGAAAAUUCAGAACUCAUCAGGAAGCUUGCAGAUUAUAGGAAAAAGUACGAUGGAAAGGUGGUUGAGUGCGGAUAUCUUCUAGAAGAGAAUGAAGAAAUGCAAAACAAACUGUGCGAGUUGAGCAAAUCCUACCAGCAGAAUGUCGAUCAUCUUCAAGAGAAGAUUCAAGAGCUGCAAAAUAUGAACCUUGAAUUGCAGUCGAAAAUGAUAAACAAAAGUGACAGUUCUAGCAGCCGGUUCUCUCUGACACCGCCACCGUACAAUCACCUCAACAUUCACAGUACACCGUACAGUAACAAGAUUCGACACCAAGACUCUCUCUACUCUGAAUUAAAAGCUUCCGGUUACAAUGCCGAGGAUGCAAAAAUUCAAGAACUCAGAGAAGAACUUUCAUUUUACAACGAUGAGUUGGCUCUCAUGGGACAACAGUUGGACGAAGCAUUGCAAGACAUGGCUGCGGCAAGAAACGAAAUCUUCGUACCGAGUAUGCAGUUGCUCGAGCCAGAUGGGAUACAAACGUUAAAGCACAAAAUCACGUCUUUGCUAGAACUGGUAAAAAGCAGUUGUACAGCCAUCAAAGCGGCGACACCGCCUGCGAUAGUGGCGUCUAGUAUGGGGGAGGACUCCCGAGAGAAGAAGCCCGACGUGCUGCCCGAGAGCACGAAAACUAGCUAUCUGUCCGACGACCGGCUCUUCGGAUCAGAGAAGCUGGAGAGUGACCUGGUGGGUUCGGUGACAUCGACGUUGACAACGAUAGCCGACAGUAAGCAGUACGAUAGAAUCGAUAGGUCCACGUCGCCGCUGCCGGAAUCUGUAGCUUUAGUUGCCAAGACGCCAGAAGACGAGUCGACUCACGAUCAAGAAAUCAUCAUACCGAUCGUCGAGGCGCUUAACAGAAUCAUCGAGAUCCAAGGUGUGGACGAGGAAGAGCUUGUUGAACCGUUCAAGCGACCUAAGCCCAAGCAGAGAUCCAUUCUGACUUUGAAGAAGCCGAUCUUACUAGUAAAACCCCCAGGAGAUUAUCCGCAUUCCAAAGCUCACGUGAACGCUAGCGGCGAUGGUCCUCACCACAACUUCGUAAAACAGGAGCAGCCCGAUUUCGGCAGUCCAAAGCCCAUUAUCGAAACCACAACGACGGAGAUGAAGACUCUCAAAUCCGAGUUUAAAGACUGCUCUGCCAGUCCAGACAUUAGCAAGCUCGAUACGAGAUUCGUCACGACGCGACUCAGUGAGAAAACGUUUUCGGUAAUAAAUCCGGUUGGCUCCAGUACCGAAGAGAAGCCACUGGUCAUAGCAGAGGUAAGCAGGCCCUUAAAGCCGCUCGAGAUGACGUACUUCCAGACACCACAGCACAGCCCGCAAGCCGUUCCACGGCGAAAGUUGUCCGUCUACCAGCGGUCCUUCGACAUAGAUAAUUUGCAGACGCCGGACAGCGCGCAGAGCACGAGCAACGAGAAGCGACGAUCGGUCAGUACGCCCGACGUUCAGGAAUCAGAUUAUAGCGGAUUUACGCCUAUCUCCAAGAACCAGCUGCUGACGACGUAUAGGUGCGCCAACAGUAGCGACUCGUCGAAUAGUCCAUCGCCAAAGAAAAAUGAGUUCCCGGUCCCUGGAACGGAAGACGAAUCCUCUUUGCUGUUCAGCGAGGAACAAAAGAAACAGCCGUUUGGUCCUAGAGUCGCUAAACCGGUGAUUUUUGCGCCCAAGUUUAAGUUGCCCGAUUCUACAGUGAACCAGACGCAUAUAAUUGAGCGGAAUGAAAAGAAGCCUGCAAAGCCAGCCGUGGUUCAGGGGAUGCUGCAGAGGAAUUCAUCGUUUGGAAAGAUUUCAAGCAGUGACGCAGCUGAUCAGUCGAAGAUUUUAAGCUCUUCCCCGAACUUGGCGAGGAAAGACGAGAUCAAGGCGAAGAGUGAGGUGGUCAAAACGGCAGCGACUACUUUUACCGUAGAAUCGUGCAAAAUCGGCAGUAGCAAAUUGUCAAAUGAACACUUGAAUGUUACCCCGACUGAUAUCUCAAGCAGUGACAAUUGCAGUAUGGACAACGAUUGCAGUACAAAUAUUUCGGAUAGUGUCUUUGCAACAAAUAUUGAUGAUAAAAGCGCCAAAACGUACUCGAAAAAUGGUGUCGUCUCGGAGCUGAAGGCAACUACGACAGAAGCAAGCAGUGCAGCAUCGGCAGCAGCGGUUCGCGAGGAGAGCAUCAUUCCGCGCUGCAGCAGCGGCGCCAGCGGCGGCGUAAACGGCUCGAGCAGCCGCGCGCCGGCAGUAGUGCGCGCGAUGUCCAGCGGCGAGGACAGCUCGGCCGAGAGCGAGUGCGACGCGCUGCGGGCGUCGAAAAACUCAUCGACAGCGACGAAAGUUGAGAACAUAAUCGAAGUUGAGAAAAAACCUGUUGAGUCGACGCCAGCGGAAAAAGCAGUUGAGAAGAAGAAGAAGCAGUCAUCGCCACCGCUGUCGUUGUCGAUGUUGGACCGUUCGGUGCUCGAGGUGGAUAGCAGUGGGAAGCCUGUUUUGGGCAGAAAAAGGAGCAAUAGUUGCACGGAAUCCACGACUGCGAGGGAUAUCAAGCUUGUGACAUCCCCGGCUGAGAACGGCAUCGACAAGGACAGCAGCUGCCAGAAAGUCACGUCAAACACGUCGCCCCAAGAAGCGAUUAAGGAAGAUGAGAGUCCCAAGGCUUUCCCGAGCUGGUCCGACGAGAAGCUGCAGGAAUCCGGAAUCGCGAGUUACCCGGAUAUCGAUGCGGAGAUAAGCGAAAACUUGCCCGAGGAAGAACUGAAGGUAUAUAUUUCUAUUGAGACAAAGAAGUGUGUAUCAUUUUCCGUUGGAUUGAGCACAGACAGGAUGACUCUCUCGAAGAGGAUAACUCUGUCCCGUCGUCAUCGUGAUCAGGCUGAGAAGAACUUCAACAACGAGAUUGUUAAAAUGCAGCAGGAUAUUAAGGAGCUGGCGCCUCUGUGCGUGGACAACGAGUCGCUUGAGCGGGUGGAGCGAGCGAGGCUGCAGUUGGAAAUGGUUGCCCGAUGUGCCCAUCGAAUAUCUUGUAGUGCCGAGACCCUUGGCGCUGUGCACCAGGAGCGACGCGUAUCGCGAGCUGUUUUACUAGCCGACAAGUACCUGCAGACGCUACGAGCCAAGUGUGAAAAGCUCGCCAAUGAGCUUGCGGAGACGAAGAGAAUUCUCGCGGAGAACAACAUCAUGCUCGAAGAGAACCUGAGCGAGAUGGGUGACGACGUUCCGCGAGUUCGGUAUCGUGCCGUACCCAACAAUAAUCGUACGAUGAUGGCUAGAAGGAGAGCUAGCAUAGCGACGAUAUCCCGGCCGCUGAUGGGCAGCAAUCUGGACAUUACAAAGGCAACGAGAUUACCACUUUUUUCCCGUCUUCUCUAUAUGUUUCUCUGUUUGUGAAUAUGCUUUUCUUGCGCAUUCUAGGACACUUGUUUACCAUGCUUAACGGGUGUAUCCAGCGAAAUAACAUACUUUUUCGUUUAUUUAUAAAAAUUUGCUUCACGCAGGCUAUUUAGUGUAGACUAUAAUUGUUUGCGAUCCAAGGCUGCUUUAUUUCUGUGCUUUAUUUCUAUGGAUUCCUGGAGUUACAACGAUCUGCACGCAUGCAGCAUAUUAAAACUCAAAUUAACAUAUUGAUAAUCGUAUAAACCCUAUUUAUAAUAACAUACUUGUAUAAUAUUAAUACAUAUUAAUGCUGAAAUAAACAGUGCAUGAUGGUAGUCAGUUCAAUAACAAACGUUUAGAGCAGUCGCCUCUUACGACAGGCUGAACCUUUAAGACACCACAGAAACUCUGUAUCUGGAAGAGUCAGUACGCGAAAAGCUUCACUAUCUUCCGAGAAUCCAGCAAAGUUGCUGGAGAAUGAGAAGAUGGCUCGAACAGAAAGUUCCGGUAGUAUAGUAGAAUUGCGAGACAUUUCCGAGCAAAUAGAGUCUAGACGACAUUCCCGAGAAGAGAAUAAUAAUAGUUUAAUUCGGACGUCCAUUAAUAAUUUAUCAACAAUUACUAUUGAACAUAACGUACAUGCCGAAGAAGUAGAAGUUUGGCCAAAUCAACGAGAAAAGAUUGUUCAGGAAUCAGCUAAUGACAAUGUAGUAAAUUCUCUUGAAACAGAACAGAGUGUUAAUAGUUAUCCGUUAUUUUGUUGGUUAUUGCGCAGAUACCCAAUCUGGAAACCAAUGUUUUUGAGCUUGGUCAUAGCCUUCUUACUAGGAUUUUUCUUGGAGCGCGUUGUAUCUUCGAGUGAACAAAAUGGACCGCCAUUGGCUUGGUGGUCCAUCGAGGAAUUACUUAAUCGGUGUAUCCGAAUCGAAAACGUUAAUGUUCCAAAGCCGAUUUGAAGCUUUAAACUUCUACGUCAUAACGUGGAUUUUAAUUUUACAACUAUAACUAUUUGUUAAAAGUAUUUUUGAAGUACGUCGAUUUUUUUAUAGAAAAUAACUUUCGAAGUAGUAUAACUGUAUUCUCUUUGUACCUGUAUUUAUGAGUUUUCGUGUUGUUAUAAAUUAUGAUUUAAUAAUUAAGUUAGUACCGAAAGAUAAUAAGUGAGAUCUCAAGGAGCGAAAAACGAGGAAAACGAACUCCCAAAAGUGUCGAUAGUGUAUAUGUAACUUAAAGCCGAAAACGCGUUUUUCUGGGAAGAUAAAUGUUCUUAAACACUCUUUACUGUCUUCCAUGUACCUAUGAAAGAUGAUUGAAGGUCAUUCUCUAGGUGCUUUGUGUGCUCAAGAACAGUUCAAAGCCAGUCGACCUGUAAAUAGAUUCGUGUACAGUUAUUUUCAUUUAGAUGUUAUCAAAAUUUAAGUCUUAAAAAUGAACUUAAGUGGAUAUAUUUACUGAUCAUUCAGUGAUUAUGAAUUUUAAAAAUAAACAGAAUUAUUUCCAA